rnacentral:rRNA from 1 species
GACGAAUGCUGGCGGCGUGCUUAACACAUGCAAGUCGAACGGAAAGGCCCUGCUUUUGUGGGGUGCUCGAGUGGCGAACGGGUGAGUAACACGUGAGUAACCUGCCCUUGACUUUGGGGUAACUUCAGGAAACUGGGGCUAAUACCGGAUAGGAGCUCCUGCUGCAUGGUGGGGGUUGGAAAGUUUCGGCGGUUGGGGAUGGACUCGCGGCUUAUCAGCUUGUUGGUGGGGUAGUGGCUUACCAAGGCUUUGACGGGUAGCCGGCCUGAGAGGGUGACCGGCCACAUUGGGACUGAGAUACGGCCCAGACUCCUACGGGAGGCAGCAGUGGGGAAUAUUGCACAAUGGGCGGAAGCCUGAUGCAGCAACGCCGCGUGCGGGAUGACGGCCUUCGGGUUGUAAACCGCUUUCGCCUGUGACGAGGCGUGAGUGACGGUAAUGGGUAAAGAAGCACCGGCUAACUACGUG